rnacentral:rRNA from 1 species
CAAACUGGAGAUGGCGACCGGCGCACGGGUGAGUAACACGUAUCCAACCUGCCCUUUACUCGGGGAUAGCCCUUCGAAAGAAAGAUUAAUACCCGAUAGCAUAAUGAUUCCGCAUGGUUUCAUUAUUAAAGGAUUCCGGUAAAGGAUGGGGAUGCGUUCCAUUAGGUUGUUGGUGGGGUAACGGCCCACCAAGCCUUCGAUGGAUAGGGGUUCUGAGAGGAAGGUCCCCCACAUCGGAACUGAGACACGGUCCAA